AUUGAACGCUGGCGGCAGGCCUAACACAUGCAAGUCGAACGGUAGCACAGAGAGCUUGCUCUCGGGUGACGAGUGGCGGACGGGUGAGUAAUGUCUGGGAAACUGCCUGAUGGAGGGGGAUAACUACUGGAAACGGUAGCUAAUACCGCAUAAUGUCGCAAGACCAAAGAGGGGGACCUUCGGGCCUCUUGCCAUCGGAUGUGCCCAGAUGGGAUUAGCUAGUAGGUGGGGUAAUGGCUCACCUAGGCGACGAACCCUAGCUGGUCUGAGAGGAUGACCAGCCGCACUGGAACUGAUACACGGUCCAGACUCAGACGGGAGGCAGCAGUGGGGAAUAUUGCACAAUGGGCGCAAGCCUGAUGCAGCCAUGCCGCGUGUAUGAAGAAGGCCUUCGGGUUGUAAAGUACUUUCAGCGAGGAGGAAGGCAUUGUGGUUAAUAACCGCAGUGAUUGACGCUACGCGCAGAAGAAGCACCGGCUAACUCCGUGCCAGCCGCCGCGGUAA
rnacentral:rRNA from 1 species